CGGGGUGUAGCGCAGUUUGGUAGCGCGCAUGAAUGGGGUUCAUGAGGCCGGAAGUUCGAUUCUUCUCACUCCGA
rnacentral:tRNA from 1 species